rnacentral:rRNA from 1 species
UUUAUGGAGAGUUUGAUCCUGGCUCAGGAUGAACGCUGGCGGCGUGCCUAAUACAUGCAAGUCGAGCGAACGGACGAGAAGCUUGCUUCUCUGAUGUUAGCGGCGGACGGGUGAGUAACACGUGGAUAACCUACCUAUAAGACUGGGAUAACUUCGGGAAACCGGAGCUAAUACCGGAUAAUAUUUUGAACCGCAUGGUUCAAAAGUGAAAGACGGUCUUACUGUCACUUAUAGAUGGAUCCGCGCUGCAUUAGCUAGUUGGUAAGGUAACGGCUUACCAAGGCAACGAUGCAUAGCCGACCUGAGAGGGUGAUCGGCCACACUGGAACUGAGACACGGUCCAGACUCCUACGGGAGGCAGCAGUAGGGAAUCUUCCGCAAUGGGCGAAAGCCUGACGGAGCAACGCCGCGUGAGUGAUGAAGGUCUUCGGAUCGUAAAACUCUGUUAUUAGGGA